rnacentral:rRNA from 1 species
CCCUUAGAUGUUCUGGGCUGCACGCGUGCUACAAUGGCGCUUGCAGCAAGUCUUGCCAACCCGAUAGGGUGAGCGGAUCUUUGAAGAGGCGUCGUGAUCGGGACAGUUGAUUGCAAUUAUUCGACUCGAACGAGGAAUUCCUUGUAAUCGCGAUUCAUCAUAUCGCGCUGAAUACGUCCCUGCCCUUUGUACACACCGCCCGUCGCUCCUACCGAUUGAGCGAUCCGGUGAAUGUUUUGGACUGGCGUCAGAAGCGGUUCGCUCCUGACACUACGAAAUUUUGUAAACCUUAUCGCUUAGAGGAAGGAAAAGUCGUAACA